CGAUGAUCUCCCGCUUGCGGGGGUGAUUAGUGGCGAACGGGUGAGUAAUACGUGAGUAACCUGCCCUUGACUCUGGGAUAAGCCUGGGAAACCGGGUCUAAUACUGGAUACGACCUCCUGUCGCAUGGUGGGGGGUGGAAAGGGUUUGACUGGUUUUGGAUGGGCUCACGGCCUAUCAGCUUGUUGGUGGGGUAAUGGCUCACCAAGGCGACGACGGGUAGCCGGCCUGAGAGGGUGACCGGCCACACUGGGACUGAGACACGGCCCAGACUCCUACGGGAGGCAGCAGUGGGGAAUAUUGCACAAUGGGCGCAAGCCUGAUGCAGCGACGCCGCGUGAGGGAUGACGGCCUUCGGGUUGUAAACCUCUUUCAGCAGGGAAGAAGCCACAAGUGACGGUACCUGCAGAAGAAGCGCCGGCUAACUACGUGCCAGCAGCCGCGGUAAUACGUAGGGCGCAAGCGUUGUCCGGAAUUAUUGGGCGUAAAGAGCUCGUAGGCGGUUUGUCGCGUCUGCUGUGAAAGCCCGGGGCUCAACCCCGGGUCUGCAGUGGGUACGGGCAGACUAGAGUGCAGUAGGGGAGACUGGAAUUCCUGGUGUAGCGGUGAAAUGCGCAGAUAUCAGGAGGAACACCGAUGGCGAAGGCAGGUCUCUGGGCUGUUACUGACGCUGAGGAGCGAAAGCAUGGGGGAGCGAACAGGAUUAGAUACCCUGGUAGUCCAUGCCGUAAACGUUGGGCACUAGGUGUGGGGGACAUUCCACGUUCUCCGCGCCGUAGCUAACGCAUUAAGUGCCCCGCCUGGGGAGUACGGCC
rnacentral:rRNA from 1 species